UACGAAGGGGGCUAGCGUUGCUCGGAAUCACUGGGCGUAAAGCGCACGUAGGCGGCUUACUAAGUCAGGGGUGAAAUCCUGGAGCUCAACUCCAGAACUGCCUUUGAUACUGGUAAGCUCGAGUCCGGGAGAGGUGAGUGGAACUGCGAGUGUAGAGGUGAAAUUCGUAGAUAUUCGCAAGAACACCAGUGGCGAAGGCGGCUUACUGGUCCGGUUCUGACGCUGAGGCGCGAAAGCGUGGGGAGCAAACAGG
rnacentral:rRNA from 1 species